UUCAACAACCCUUCAUGCUAAAAACUCUCAAUAAAUUAGGUAUUGAUGGGACGUAUUUCAAAAUAAUAAGAGGAAACACUUUUCAACAUGUUUUAUGAGUCUACCGUUAUCCCCAUACCAAAACCAUAAAACAGACAUUACAAGAAAAUGUCCUGUAGACAAAUAUGUAUUUUGAUGAUGAAUUUAGAUUUCAAAAACUUCAGCAAAAUAUUAUCCAAUUAAAUCCUCUCAUGUCUGUGUGUGUGUGUGUGUGCAUGCACGUGUGUUUGUAAAAUAUAUCAUUACUAAUUGGCGUUUAUCUUGGGAGUUCAAGAUGGUUUCCAUAUUCAAUCAACCCAUCAAUGUGGACUAUGGUCACUUGAAAAGACCAGCAAAUCCUCUGCACAAAAGGCCACUAGAAAUUCAUUAAAGCAGCCUUCCAUCAUUCUCGAAAUUGACCAAAGCAUUCAACUACCUGAGAAAUAUUUAUGUUUGGAAAGCUAUUGAAAUGCAAUUAAAAAUAUCAGGAAACCUGUUUUUACCUUUUGUCCUAAUCUUGCUAAAUCCUUCUUAAUUUUAGGAGACACUGCUUCUCCUUCCACUGUUCUUUUACUUUCUCCUUCCCCUUUGUUUUUGCCUCCCCCUUCCUCUCCCUUUUCUACAUUCCUUCUCUCUCCUAAAUGCUGUAUAAAUUUCUACAUAUGUAAUCAUAUUAUUUACAAAUAGGAACAGUUUUACUUAUUUCUUUCCAGUCUGCAUUUAUUUUAUUCUUCCUUUUUUUCCUUACACACUGGAUAGAACUCUAAGUAUUAUGUUGAAAAAGAGUGAUAAAAGCAAACAUCUUUGCUUUAUUCCUGAGCAUACAUGUGGAAAACAUUCAGUGUUUCACAGCUAAAUAUGAUGGAUUUUUUGUAUGCUCUUUAUCAAGAUGAAGGAAUUUUCUGCUAUUUCUGGUUUGCUGAAUUUUUAUCACAAGUAACUGUUGAAUAGUGUCUUUUUCCCCUGCAUUUAUUGAACUGAUCAUGCAUUCUCCUAUUUUAGAAUAUUAAUAUGAUGAACUAUAUUAUUAGAUUUUUUAAAAUAUUGCAACUGUCUUGCAUUUCUGGAAUAAACAUGGCUUGGUCAUGUGUCACUUUUUUACAUAGUGUCGUAUUCAAGUUGUCGAGGAUUUUGCAUCUAGGGUAUAUUUGUAGAUUUGCAUCUAGGUUAUGUUGGUCUAAAGUUUUGUUUGUUUGUUUUCCUUUUCUUUUUUUUUAUCAUCUUUGUCUUCUUCUGUUUAAGUGUCAUGCUUGCUUCAUAAAAUGAAUUGAGAAGCAUUUCUUCCUCUUCUGUUUCUCGAAAAUUGUAGAGAACUCUUGUUUUUUGUUGUUGUUUGUUUGUUGUUUUGUUUUUUCUUAUUUUUAUCCUCAUACUGAGAACCAAACAGUCUGGAGUGUAAAACAUGGUUCCUCAUUCCAGUUAAAUCUAGUAUACAAUGACAACAACCCUCUUGGGUUAAGCAUUGGCCUACAAACAGAAAAAAACCUUCAGGGAGAUAGAUGCUGAUCUAGGCAUUGUGAGAAAAGCUGAAUUCAUUUUUAAUCAUGAAUGGCUUUUAAGGAAAGAAGAUUUAUUAACUAAAAUAAAUAGAUUAGAGGGAAUUCUCACCUAUGAGAGAGGAAGGGAUGGGAUUCAACCUGGAAAAAGUAAUGAAGUUUUAGUGAACUUGGUAAGGUAGACUCAACAAUUAAUGAUGGAUAAUGCUAGGACCCAACACUGGUAAUGAGUUUGUAUUAUGACUCAAUAGCAUCACUUUAUCACUUUAACACAGAUGGAGGCCUAAAUAACCAUAGGGUAAUGGUUCUUCUUAGAUGCAGAAGGACACAUUUAUAUAAUCUUAGGGACCCCAUCUCUGAGGUCACUCAUAAUUUAUAUUAAUUCAUUGUUAUUGCCAUUGCCCCAAGAAUAGAUAAGGAUAAGACAUCCUGUAGUACAGGUAGCAGAGAUAUAAACUAUUCUUAUUCUUGUGUCUUGUCUAUAGGAAGGGAGUGUAUCCUGGUGUAAGACAGCAUAUAGUAGAGACCAUUGUCAAUUAGGGCCUGUGAACUAAGACAGGGUGACUGGCUAAGUCCACAACCCAUUAGAAACCCAGAAAUAAUCAAAUCAUGGUGAGUAGUAAUAACACUUAUUUAUAAUACUAUACGGUAUAAAGACAAGAACCAAUUAUGUUGAGUAGCUGUAACAAAUAGCUCUAUCAUUCGUAAUAACUUUUUCUGUAAUAAAACUGAAUUGUAACAUGAUCAUACUGCAAUAUGACAUUACACUAGCAUUGUUGGUAAGAUUCAACUAUCUUAUGUAGAGAAGUUAUAUAAUGCUUAUAUUGAUAAUCAAAUGUAUUAAGAUAUUGAGUUAAAGCCUCUUCAGAAUGUAAUCUGGGUGAAUAAUAAAUGGCCUGAGAAAACAGAAUUCAGCUAACCAUUAUCUAAUUUCAAUGCUAAAUAGUUCUGCACAGAUUUAUCAAAAAGUAAAAAUAAAAGCAGAUUGAGAGGAGGAAUGAAUAAUUUUGUUUGUACAAAAUAUUAAAGUGUAUGUAAUGGGCUUGUAGGAUGCAUUAGUAAUUUUUAAAAAUCAAUCUUUACCCUACACUGUGUCCAUAAAAUGCUAGGCAUAUUCAUGUUAAUAUUACUGUUGUUACUGUCAUAUAAAUGCCAUAUUCAAUGUAGAUGCUCAGAAAAAUAUGAUUGUUUUGCUACAGGAGAGAUUAGACCAGGGACAAUAAAUAUGGAUUAGGCAAGAAUGUGUUAACUCAGCAGCCCAGGGUUUUUUCAACCCUGCACAUUCAAAGGUAAGGUUUGUUUUUAGGACUAGCUAGCCUCUGAGUUCUGGAAAUAGUCUUACCGUGAAGAGUGUUUUUGUAUAUCUGAGGCCUUGGGUUUAUGGUGAAUGACUGACUUAUAUGCCUGAGGCCCUGAGCCAUGCUGUAUUUAUUUGAACCAUGUGGUAUCAAUUUAACCAGAUACGUUUAUUCUAAGAUAUGAUUUAUGCUGAAUGCCUGGUUUUGUUCUAGAGGGAUCAUGGAAAGGAAGCUGAAUUUGCCAAGUUUUGCCACUUGGGCAUUGCAUGCCUAUGUGAUUAACCACCAAUAAAAACCUGGGACAUCAAAGAAUAAAUAAGCUGCUCUAAUUGCCAAGAAUUCACAUGUGGUUGUAUGCAGCUUUACUGGGAGACUGAAGUGUAUCUGCAUGUGAUUCUGCUGUGAUGGACACUUGAUCUUGAGAUGACGUCAUACUGGAUGAUCCUAGUGCACCCUAAAUCCAAUAAGUGUUCUUAUGAAAGACAGAAGAGGAGAAGAUACAGGAAAUAGAAGAAGGCUACUUGAGGAUGGAAGCAGAGAUUGGAGUUAUGCAGCUACAAACCAAAGAAUGCCUUGAGCCACCAGCAGCUGAAAGAGCUAGUCAGCAAUACAACUGGGAUUUGAUAUCAGAUUCAUACGAUUCCGAAGACCCUGACCACCAAAUGCAAAAGGAUAAGAGGGCAUCUCUUCUUCCAUAUUCAUAAAUACGUUGCCAACAGGAAUUUGUUGUUAUUUACACUUUCUUCUCCUAGACAUUUUAAUUUUACUUACCUUCCCUGAGCACAUGGCAAAGUCAAAACACAAGCAGAAUCUUACUUAUGAAUAGAGGCAGAUUUAUUAAGCCAGGGGUAGGCAAACUAUAGCCAAUGAGCCAAAGCCAGGCUGCCACGGGUUUUUAUAAAUAAAAUUUUAUAGGAACUCAGCCACAGACAUUCCUUUACAUAUUGCCUACAGCUGCUUAAGCACUACAAAGGCAAAGUUGCAUAUUUACAACACAAAUAAUAUGGCCUGCAAGCCUAAAGUAUCUACUAUCGUGCCCUUUAUAGAAAAUGUUUAUCAGCUUUUGUUCUCUUAUCCUAAGUUAUGAGGCUUACAUUUCCGGCCACCUCAUUUGCAUUUGAGUUUCCAGUUUUGAGUUUGUAGUUUUGCAUUCUUGCUUAAAGAGCCCCAAACCCUGACCGCCAAAUUGAAUGUGCUGUAGAUCCCACAAAAUAUGGAUCCAAUCAAGCUGAUGCCAUGUCAUUAUCUGUAGCUUUUAUUCUUUGCCAUCACACACCUUCCUUGAACAGUUAGGCUUCUGCAAAAAAUCUUAAAUAAUCACUGAUAUGGGUUGGUUCUGUGUCUUCACCCAAAUCUCAUCUUGUAGCUCCCAUAAUUUCCACGUGUUAUGGGAAGGAUCCAGUGGGAGAUGUCUGAAUCAUGAGGGCACGUAUGUCCCAUGCUGUUCCCAUGAUAGUGAAUGGAUCUCACGAGAUCUGAUGGUGUUAAAAAUGGGAGUUUCUCCACACAAUC
rnacentral:lncRNA from 1 species